rnacentral:lncRNA from 1 species
CUUACUUUAUGGAGGGAGCUGUGCGUUAUAAGGGAAUUAUGUGUGUGUUUUGCAUUUGAAGAGAAUAACUACAUUGUCCCUACCCGUUGUAUAAGUUGGGAUACUCGUGUGAAUAAGCAUAAAAGGGAAUUCAAGGCUGCCCAAGCAUUGAUGCUAGCUUUCAAUAUCGUGUUACCAAGCUUUAACAUGUUCGCCGUGUGGAAAUUCUUAAGGAUGGCAUCCAAUGCUGGCCAACAUUUAUUCUAGCUGUGGAAGCUCUUUAUGGGUGAUUUAAACCAUGUUUUGGCCGUUGUUACUUACCUUGUAUGCUAUUAGGUCAUGGGCAUGAAUAUAGAUUGGAAUCCAAAGCUUCAAAACUUCAUUGAAGCCAACAAGCCGUGGAAUACAAGCAAGGAAACGUGGGAUAAUUGAAGCAACCAAGGAAUCCUACGUGCUCUCAUUACUUUCUUUCUUUAAUAUAAUAAGUUAGGCAAGAAAACAUGUGGAGAAUUUCUCUAAUGUGUAAUGAUAUGAAUAAAUCCAUAUAUGCGCGCAG